UUUACAGUGGGAGUAUAUUCUUUUUCCAAAGCGUGUUGUUUCAAGCUUCAAGCCUGGGACUGGAAAAUUUCACUGAUGUGGGGGUUGGUAAUAGUGCACCAAGAAAAAGAUUCUUUCUCUUACUGCAGAGAAAGCCAUAUCUCUGGG